rnacentral:lncRNA from 1 species
AAACAGAUAUAAUCACAGUAUAAGCAGAAUAUCAUAAGAGAGGGAGAAAACUAAAACUGCCCUGAAUAUUGGAUGAAAUCGCAAGAAUGGUGAAAAAUUAUUUUGUAGGCAAAUUUAAAUGUAGUGCAUGAUUCUGAGCAAACUAAUAAGAAAAUAAACACAAAUAGUGAAGAAGAUUAAAAUGUUACAAGUCAAUUAGAAACAAC